rnacentral:tRNA from 1 species
AUUUAUCUAAUAUAAUAAGUAUAAUUGACUUCCAAUCAAAAAGUUUGAUUUAACAAGAUAAAUA